rnacentral:rRNA from 1 species
UACAGAGGGUGCAAGCGUUAAUCGGAAUUACUGGGCGUAAAGCGCACGCAGGCGGCGAUCCAAGUCGGAUGUGAAAGCCCCGGGCUUAACCUGGGAAUCGCAUUCGAAACUAGUUCGCUAGAGUGUGGUAGAGGGAAGUGGAAUUCCAGGUGUAGCGGUGAAAUGCGUAGAUAUCUGGAGGAACAUCAGUGGCGAAGGCGACUUCCUGGACCAACACUGACGCUCAGGUGCGAAAGCGUGGGGAGCAAACAGG